UACGUAGGGGGCAAGCGUUGUCCGGAUUUAUUGGGCGUAAAGAGCGUGUAGGCGGCCAGAUAAGUCCGCUGUGAAAUCUCGAGGCUCAACUUCGAGCUGUCGGUGGAAACUGUCUGGCUAGAGUCCGGAAGAGGAGAAUGGAAUUCCUGGUGUAGCGGUGAAAUGCGCAGAUAUCUGGAGGAACACCGGUGGCGAAGGCGGCAUCCUGGACCGGUAUUGACGCUGAGGAGCGAAAGCCAGGGGAGCAAACGGG
rnacentral:rRNA from 1 species